rnacentral:lncRNA from 1 species
AUUCAUCUGACACACCGAGAUGGAUGAUCAAAUGACCGUCAUCCAGGGAAAGUCUGGGAGGUCUCAUGCAGUACGCAGACACUGGAAAAUUCCUACCUUCCUACAGAAGACGUGAAAUUGAGGAAAAAAGAAGCAAUACCAAGUUGCAUUAUGAGCCACGAAAGGCAGGCUUUGCCAACUUUACAGUUUGGGGCAGGUUGGCUGUUAGCUGGAAUGCCAUCUGGGUAUUGAGGACCUUGCCCAUUGGAAGGAGCUCCUGUGUAAUGUCUUGACUGUGGCUCCCGUGUUCCAUCAGUGCAGUCUCCACAGGCAGCAGUUUCUUCGGGACCAUCAUAUCCAAGAACACUUAGCAGUGGAAAUGUGACCUUUAUUAUCAUUCUCCUCCAUCUGAAGAAAACAGUUAUAAAGCCUGCCGACCAAUGCUGUCUUGGAAACUAAAUGACAGAGAAAUUAUAAAGCCCAAAAGAAAAUGGUAUACACUA